rnacentral:rRNA from 1 species
AACGAACGCUGGCGGCAUGCCUAACACAUGCAAGUCGAACGAGACCUUCGGGUCUAGUGGCGCACGGGUGCGUAACGCGUGGGAACCUGCCCUUAGGUUCGGAAUAACUCCCCGAAAGGGGUGCUAAUACCGGCUAAUGUCUUCGGACCAAAGAUUUAUCGCCUUUGGAUGGGCCCGCGUUGGAUUAGCUAGUUGGUAGGGUAAAAGCCUACCAAGGCGACGAUCCGUAGCUGGUCUGAGAGGAUGGUCAGCCACACUGGGAGUAAGACACGGCCCAGAAUCCUACGAGAGGCAGCAGUGGGGGAUAUUGGACAAUGGGCGAAAGGCUGAACCAGCAAUGCCGCGAAAGUGAUGAAGGCCUUAGGGAUGUAAAGGUCUUUUACCCGGGAUGAUAAUGACAGUACCGGGAGAAUAAGCACCGGCUAACUACGUG